GUGGUACUGUGAUGAGUACAGCUAUCUGCCAAGCAGCUGACCUGGGUUUGAUUCCCAGC
rnacentral:tRNA from 1 species